rnacentral:misc_RNA from 1 species
GCAAAUGAAGUUUAUGCUGUUUGCACUAUAAAUUUUGGUUGUCAGGUCAGCAAAAUGCCACUUUUUACGAGUGAAGUGUACUGUGCACUAUUUGAUGAAAACAUAUGGUUUGGAUGGCAAUGAAAAAAGAGAAAUGAAAUGUAGGACAGUUGGAGAUUUGUCAUGUUUUGUGUGAUUAAGUAGAUGCACUUUUUUGUAUUCUACUAAUUGAAUAGAAUCAUAAGUAGAA